AGCAGUAGCCGCGGGAAUACAGAUGGUGCGAGCGUUAAUCGGAUUUACUGGGCGUAAAGCGUGCGUAGGCGGCUAAUUGAGUCGGAUGUGAAAUCCCCGAGCUUAACUUGGGAAUUGCAUUCGAUACUGGUUAGCUAGAGUGUGGGAGAGGAUGGUAGAAUUCCAGGUGUAGCGGUGAAAUGCGUAGAGAUCUGGAGGAAUACCGAUGGCGAAGGCAGCCAUCUGGCCUAACACUGACGCUGAGGUACGAAAGCAUGGGGAGCAAACAGGAUUAGAUACCCGCGUAGUCCCUGUCUCUUAUAC
rnacentral:rRNA from 1 species